GUUUCAUUUUUCUCUUCCUCUCUCCCUUGCAGCCGCGUCCACCCUCUCCCCGACCUCUCACUCUCUCGUCCUCCCUCUCUGCCAUUGCAGAAAACACAGUUUCCGGCGUCCAUCUCACAAAACCACCACCACCAAUCGAUCCAGCACCCAAAUUCGACCCAAGCCCGACCUCUCUUUCUCAUCUUCGCUCUCUGCCAUCACCGGAGACUCCAGCUCCGGCCACCACCUCACCACAUCGCCUCCACCAGUCGACGCCGCACCAAAACUGGAGCCUCACCGUCGACAUGCAUCGCCUCCAGCCUCCGCGUAGGUUCCUCAAAGCAGCGACGCCACUGCUCGUUGGCUUUCCUUGAUUUCCGGCCAUCAGCUCGCCACACCGCCAUCACUUCUCUACUCAGAACUCGCCGGACGUCUAAACCUUGAACCCCUGUUGACUGCCGAUGCCGGAAAGUGCCGUACACGUCUUAUGCCGGAGUCAUGCCGGAGUCUUAGCUUCUGCUAAGAUCGAUUUGUCUCCUCCGAUCAAAAUUGAGCUACAACGCCUCCAAGGAUGGAAUCAGGGCUUCACGAUCUAUCAAAGCCCUAGACCCCCGACCUCCAGCUCCGACUAGAGCCACCGCACGCACCUCACGCGCCACCACAGGCGCGUGGACCACCGUAACUCCGUCGCUCACGGUUGCCGGAAUCGUCAGGACUUCUUGAUUAGUCUGUGAGGAUUAUGGAAUAUGUGUUCUGGAGAUUUUGGAGGAAAUGAGGUCUGCAAAAUAGUAAGCUUUUGGAGAAGAAGAAGUUGCUGGGUCAGUUUCGAUUUGAAUCGGAUAAGGGAAUCUGAAGGAUUAAUGGUGGUAGAAUGCAACUUCAACGAUUUGGCUACUAAAUUUGGAAAAGAAGAAUGGAUUCGAACAUGUGCACUUGGAUUGGGACGAAAGAUCGAUAGUCGAGGACAAACCCAAAAGUGGACGAGCACUCCGUAUCCAGUGUGCAGGUUUCGAGCAUGUGGUCGGGAAGCGUACAGGGGAGGCACAUGGCCCGGCUUGGCGCAUUUCUCUUUAGUUUUAUCAAAAGGAAGGUUUUGGUCCCUUAUCGGAUUUUGAAGUAACUUGGUUAUUUAUUUCCUCACUAAUUUAUUUGUUUAUUUGUUUUUUAUUCGCUCAUUUACAAAAUUUCGAGAGACCCGUAACCCUGGGGCGCGUCUCUCAUACUUGUUUUCACUUUGUGGUUUGUUAUUUUCCAAAUUGGACUCCUAUUGUAAGCCCAAAUCUUUUAGCUCACUUUAAAAUUCCACUUGUGAAAAUAUGUUGUUCGGUUGCUAGAAUGUUUUGUGACUUUUGUCCAA